UAUUAAAAAAAUUAUCUAUUUGUACUGUUAAAAACUGGUGUGUCUAAUGAAAUAACCAGACAGUGACAUGUGACGUGCCACGUAUACGUCAUGUUGACGUACAUAGACCAAUUUUUAAUAGUAGAAAUGGAUGAAUUUUUUAACA
rfam:Gossypium raimondii Chr05_contig_240, whole genome shotgun sequence.